AUGUGUAAUGAACAAUUGCUUCAUCCGAGAUUGGUGUUUACCUGAUGCUGCCAUGUUUGGUUCCAGCAUCCACUAUCCUCUAAUAGACAAAUUGUCCUGACAAAAUACAAUACUUGAUAUGCAGAAUGUAUUGUAGAUCGGAUUGCUUCCGACUCCCUAAUUCAUUUGUUACAUUAAUUUCACAUUUAAUCUAAAUUUGUGUCUCCCCACUGUAGGUAAGUCAUCCUGCACCUUGGCGUACAUUGCUGCACACUAGAAAUUCAUCUACUCCUAGCACACCUAUGUACUGUAUACCUCAUGUUAUAUGAUUGAUCUACUUGUUAUCUGACUUUUUUUAUUUUUGACAGGUGUGCUGCUUCACUAACCUCCCCUACACUGAUGAAUCUGGACUCUCUAGAGAAGUUAUUCUAAGGGACAAAAGGAGUCUUGCAUCGCAUGAUGGGCUAGAAUUGGAGUGGCAUGCCAAAAUAACAAAGUGUCUGUCAUGUUCUGUUCUGAUAAAUGAUCUUACUCUCCCCAUUACUUUUAGCUCAGUUAGUGACUCCUUCAUAUUCUUACAGAUUUAUUAUUAAGUUCCCAGGUCAAGAAUUGUUUGCAGCAGUCCCUUUCCAAUUUCUGCAUCAAUUGUUGGAGGACUGGUCAGUCUGUUCAAAAAUGAACAUAGCAGUCAUGAUAACAACACACUGAGAUGGCCUGACCAGGCUGCCAUGUCCUAAGCAACUUAUUCAACCAGCCAAGCCCAUGGAUUUUCCAGAUACUUCUAGACCACCUGAGAGAUAUAAUCCUUCCAGUGCAUCCUCUGUCUUCUCUGAGUGGGCUGUACCUUGAACAUCUUCCUGAGAAAUGCCAAGAGGGCAAUCUGAUUACAUGCCUAAACUACUUCAACCUGUAGAAAUAGUGGGUCUACUCCAAAGCCCUGUCAUAUGUCUACUGUAACUUUUUGUAAAAAUGUAUCACAGAAAUCUUGUACAAGAACCUCAUUUUGACCACUUGUACUUAUAAUCUCAUUCUUCCAUCACUAUCCAGAAUUAAUUACUACAGUGGAGGAAUGAUGAGUAAGACUUGACUUCUAAAUUGAAAGAAUUAUCCAAGAUUUAAUUUGUUCUUCAACACCAUCAGUUCUUUGGGGCAGCAGCUCACCUUAUGCCCAAAUAAACAUUCAGGAAUGCGUACAUAAUAUUUUGCUUUUUCAUUUUUAAAUUUAUAUUUCAGCUUUAUACAGUAAUUACAGUAUGAGAGUGAGAUCUUCAUCUGUGCCACUUUGCAAGAUAAUUUUUUCAUGGGCAUCACCUUUAUGUUGAUAUGCCUGAAUGGGUGUUGAUUUUCUGUGUAUUUGUAUAAGGAAACUUUUUGCUGCUUCUGGUUUUCUUGGGUACCACCAUUUUGUAUGUCUGGUCAGUGUGUCCCAUGACAUCAUGUUGCCAAGGUUACAUAUGCUAUUUUUCCAUUUGUUUCAGUUAAUUAAAUAAAUCAUAAUCAUACAA